rnacentral:sRNA from 1 species
GCUGGGCAUGGUGGUGCAUGCCUGUAAUCCCAGCUACUUAGGAGGCUGAGGCAGGAGAAUCACUUGAACUCAGGAGGUAGAGGUUGCAGUGAGCUGAGAUCAUGCCACUGCAUUCCAGCCUGGGUGAUAGAGCCAGACUCUGUCUCAA